CAUACUUUCAGAAUCCUACCUAUAUGGUCUAAAACUCUAAAUCUUAGCAGUUUAGUCAAAUAAAUUGCUUUUAGGGCACUGCAUUGCUGUCACUUCUUCAGUGCCAUCCUGGCUCAGCCGCUGAUCCUAAUCCUUGCUUCCACUAAAGUUAAGUAUUCCUGCCUUUAAAUAGGAUUCUCAAUCUGCAAAAUUUUAGAUCAUCGAAGGAAUUAUACUUCAAGGUUCUGGAAGUGUUGCAACUUCUUUAUUGUUGGUGAUAAAACAAGCUGUUGAAUGUAAAAUAUCUAAACUGCCGGAACAGAAAAAUAGCCAGUUCAUCUCAUUCUUCUUAAAAUAUGGUAUCCAGAACUCCACACAGUGAUCCAACUGAGGACUGAUGAAGGAAGAACAAAGUG